UCGUGGCUGCCGAGCUUCCUCUUCUUCCCCUUCAUCUGGAGCAUCCCAGAAGCCCUCAUCACCGCCGAGCUCUCCAUCGCCUUCCACACAAGGCCUUCGGCGAUGAUUAAAGUUUACGGUGAAGAAAUCAUUGUCGCGGCCGCCAACCCCCUCCUCUCCCUCCCUGGCUCCCUUCUCUCUCUGGGGUAAGAAUCUCCCCAUCAUCUCUCUCUCUCUCUCUACAAUUUAUUUUCUGAUUCGGUUUUUUGGGUAUUGUUUUUUGUUUUUUCAGUUUCAGCAUUUCAAGCAGCAGAAACAGCAGCCGGAGGUGGCAAACCAAGUGUUUCAGAAUAGGGCUUUUCUUGCAGCGUCGAGUAAGUAGCCUAACCAGGGGUGACGUUAUAGGGUUGGUGGGCAUAGGUUGCUAGAUGUUGUGAGCUGGGGUACACAUAUUCCUGAGAAUAUGCUUAGUAAUUGGAGAGAUCUUGAUGAAUCUUCCUUGCGGGGUGAGUUCUCUCUUCAAUGAAGCUCUAAGUUAAAUACUCUCUCCAGGAGGAGGAGGUUAGAUUCUUUCCCAAAUAAAGAGGGAAGAAAAGUAGAGAUACAAAAGAGCCGUGCACUUUCUCCAGGAGGAGGAGGUUAGAUUGUUUCCCAAAUAUGGUCCAUUUUAAAAUUUCUUUUUCCUUUCAGGACCUCCGAAAUACUUUUUACUGUUAUUACGAUUAGCUUUCUGCAGUUUUUUUCUUAGUAUCUACUUGAGUUAACAUAUUUUAACCCCGUAAAUCAGGUAUCUUAUAAUACUUUGAUGCUUUGAAGCUUCAUGGUUGCGAUGUUUCAAUUAAGAUUAAUUGUUUUUGUUUAUACAUGUUAAAUUGGAGGCUCAUUAUAUAUUCAGACUGUCUAUACUUGAGCUUAUAUAAUGUGGUUGGCUUCUCUGGGUUCAAGAUAAUCAUAUUUGCUGUGGUACGUUGCGUACUGAAACCCCAGACCAUAUUUUGUUGGAUGAUGCAUUUGGUUCAGAACACUAUGGGCAAUCUGUUACGUUGGGAAGCACUCGCCUCCUCUGCUGCGGCAAUCCCUGGUACUACAAACAAAAUACCUUUCUCUUGCAAGAAUAGCUCAUGGCCUACUUAAGUUUGAUAUGUGAACAUAACAGAGGUUAAGUUUUAUUUGUGGUUUUUUUUCUUAGGGUUAUUUUGUCAAAUCUGGUAUAAAUAUUGGUAAUGUCUACUUAAAAAUGCAACAUUCAAGUGUUAAAGCAUCACAAAGAUAAAGGGAUGGAUUAGAAGUGGAGUAUAAUGAGGGAUCCUGAAGGAAGUUAAGAGUACUUUCCCAGAAGUUAAGAUGACCCUCAACGAAGAAAGGUAAAUUAAGCACCAAAACAUACAAUCGUUCAAUGGUAGUCUUAGUUUUUUAGACUAUCUUUAGGCACAUUAUGGUGGUAGGUAGGAUGAUAGGAGUUCAACCACAUGACACACCCAUUGCGCCUCUAUUCUGGUUCAGGGACGUCAUGGCCGUGAACCAUGAUGUAAGCGAUGUAUUUCUUUGAUUUUUAUGCAAUUUUCUUCCUUCUUAGGUAGCGGACUCCCUAUCUCCCUUAUCUGUACUUUUUUUGGUACUCAUUUGCUCUCUCUUUUUUAGCAUGGUGGGCAAACUAAUGUCAAUGGUGGGGUGAUGGGGUGAUGGGCAACUGAUUAUGUGGUGUGUUGAAUUUGAUAAGAGCUUUAUUUAUUAGAUUAUGAGAUCCAUCAGAAAUUUAAAUGUAUAGAGUUGGAUAAAGUUACGACUCCUUUGUCAAUUGCGUUUCUUAAUAUUCUUAGCUUUGUUAAUUAGCUUUUUCUAUCAGGUGUAGAUGAAAUGGGAGGUUGAUAAAGCGGGAGGCUGGUGUUGUAGAUGGGAAAAAUUGCAUGAGAGAGCUAAGGGGAAAUAUGGCAAUGGAGGUGGAUGGGUGCAUGAGGAUUACACGCAGUGGUUUCCAGUUCCGAGCAAGAUGGAAUUGCUAGAGAUAGUCCAACUAUUGCUAGAGGGAGAUGAGAAUUAGAUAGGGAUUUGACUAUGGUAAGUAUUGGAUAUGAAUUUGACAAGGGACUAUGGGUUAGAAGGGAUGAGAAUUUAACUGAGAAUUUACUGU